AUGGAUUGGUGCCUUCCGGAACUCUGACACAGGUGCUGCAUGGUUGUCGUCAGCUCGUGCCGUGAGGUGUAGCGUUAAGUCCCGUAACGAGCGCAACCCUUGUCCUUAGUUACCAGCACGUUAUGGUGGGCACUCUACGGAGACUGCCGGUGACAAACCGGAGUGAAGGAUGGGGAUGAGUCCUCAUCAUCAUGGCCCUUACGGCCUGGGCUACACACGUGCUACAAUGGACCGGUACAAAGGGUUGCCAAGCCGCGAGGCUGGAGCUAA
rnacentral:rRNA from 1 species